rnacentral:lncRNA from 1 species
AUAUGCAAGCUCCUGGAAUGCCUGUGGUUUCUCCAGCACCUGGGUCCUGCUGGCAACCAGCAGCACCCAGUGGCCAGCAGCGUACUCUUUCACCUCUUCUUGGGUGACUUUGUGGAAUGCUCCAAUGUGACAUCUCCCUGUGAACGCCUUUCCUGACACCCUAAAAAGUGUCAGGAAUUUCCAGCAAGUUCCAGAGAGCAGGUUUCCAGCAAGUUUGGUCAGUAUGACACCACAGCGAUAUCUCUGCCAUUCACUGAACUUGGAUUCUUCCUUCUUCAGUGAGAGAUGUUCAAGAAAAAGAACAACUUCAGUGGAAGAAGAAGAAGAUAGGAGCCCAGGUCCUGUGUUUCACCAAGACAGCCGUGCAAAGCAGAUGCUGCCAAAAAGGUGCAAAGUGGUUUGUCAGCUCUUCUGCAUGUUCUAACAAAUUAGACAUGCAUCCCAAAAGGUUUCCUAGACUUUCCAUCACCACCAGUGAAUUCUGAGUGACAAUAGUGUGGAAUUUGGAAGAAUGGAAGAGAAACUGAAGUGGAGAGAUGGUGAAAGAGAAGAAAAAAUGAAGAAAGAUGCUUGCAAAAAUACUGCUGUGGGUCCUGAGAUGAGGAUUCUGGGAGGGCUGAAAUGGAUGCCCCUGACAGCUCCCUUUGAGUUCCUGUUCAUCUGAAGUACACCAGCUUUCUAGAUAUGCUGUCACUUUCCUUCUGCAGAGCCACAGUGGUGUCCUGUCUUCUCAGACCUCUUCUCACCUCAAAUCACUUAGGACUCGGCCACCAGACAGAUUUGGGAUUUCAGAACUUUUCAGAUGUUAGAAAGUUCUUUUCUAAAUGUGAUGAGGAAUUACGGAAUCAUAAAAUGGAAGCAGAGUUAAACUCAGACAUGUGGGCACUCAAGGCAAUUAGGAGCUUUCUGCGAUGAGAAAGGGAUCAGACUGAUCCUUAAGACUUUAUGCAACCCCAGAGUAUUGCAGCCACCUGCAUGCCGAAGGUGUCAAGAGUGUUCUCACUGCUGCCUAUAGGAGGGUCUUCAGCCUCCAGUGAUCCAAAGUACCAGGCUGACCUGUGACUGCUUCGGCCAACUGAAUAGGGAAGAGUGAUGCUGUGCUGUUUCCAGGCCUGUUCUUUAAAAGUACUUGGAAGCUUCUGCCUUGGCCUCUUUGUGCCUGAGUUGCUGUAUAAGAAUCUGACUACCUUGCUGGAGAGACCUUGUGGAGAAGACUUGACCUUAUAUGCAGAGGUAGAGGGGCCCUGGUUAGUCCAGCCAUCUAGCCAUCCUGUCAAAAUAGCAGGAGUAUGAUGGCCAAUGGAUCCAAAACCUAUCCUAUAUCUACAUGUUGGUGGCCACAUUAAUCUGACAUCUGACAGCAAGAGCGAUGAUUGGGUUCACUGGAAAUCUUUGUGAAGUACGAGUGAAGUCCUUGUGAAGUCAGAGUUUCCUCUUCAUGCCUCUACUCCUAUGCAGUUUGACCUCUCAGUGUGCAGCUGGUGAUAGAUGGAAACCCUUGUUCAUAAGCUUUGUGGCACUGUCGGCAGGAUGAGGGGACUUCUGGAUCCUCACUGGUCACUGUGGCAGAGUGGUUGGUGUUGUCUGCUCCCUAGACAGGAACCCACUGAAGAAUCUGACAUUUUUUGAUAUGCUGGCAUUCAUUGUUACAGCCCAUCAUCCCAGCCAUCAAUCCAGGACAUGGGGUCUGUGCCCACGGUGGGAAGGAGGAGGGGGAAGCUGGCUUUGUUCUGACGUUGGGCUUCUUCUGCUCCACCAGUACUUUCUGUGGGGGAAAUAGGUAAAGAAAUGGCUGUUCAGAUGAGAAGAUGUGUCAGUAAACUUUUGCUACAGUGAUGCUGCAAAACAAAUCACUGGUGACUUUCAGUGGCACACAGCAAUAAACAUUUAUUUAGCUCAGGGAUUGACAAUCUUUUUUUUUUUUUAAAGGGCCAAAUAGUAAAUAUUUUAGGUGUUUCAGGCCAUACAGUCUCUGAACUCUGAACUUGUAGCACAACAGUAGCCUUAGAUGCUAUGCAAAUGGAGGAGCAUGACUGUGUUCCAAUAAAACUUUAUUUAUGGACACUAA